rnacentral:lncRNA from 1 species
AAUUCUUGUUAAACAACCAACAAAGAUUGUAUAACCAGCAAUGUUCAAAUAAAAACCAGGCAGAAUUUAUUUACAAAAGGUUUAGAUUCCAUUGCAAUACAACUUGCAUAAAUUACUAGAAGCUUUAUAUCAUUAUAAAAAUAAAUAUCAAAUUUGUUUCCACUUCUUAAGUACUCAAGUUCUAUAAUCACGUUUUAUUUCUACUGUGUAC